UCCAAGAACUCCGCACAGUCGUCAUUUCUAAUAGCGUGGCCAAUGGUUGCCGGUGUGUGGGGAAGGAGUGGCAGAACUCAACGGUGCUAGACGAAGGGUUCGUCCCUGCUUUGAGCGAAUGGUGGUCGAGAAAAGAAGCCAGUCUUCUGCCGAAAUUCUCCCUCUUUUCUUUCUGGCAAAAGUCCCUUUUAUAUGAGUGCGUCUUAAAUAAUGGUGCCCUUUUCCUUCAGGAGAUCCGCCUGUCAAUAGUGAAUUGCUUUGCUUCUUUCAAACUUAAUGCUUUUCAACUUGCCAAUGAAUUGAGUGGAGGGAAAUGGAAUGUGGAGAAUGUAUGCAGAGAUUGUGAGAGCAUGGAGCCAGUAAGGUCACCACUACAGCUACGUGAGGAAGAGAUGGAUCAUUCUCAUAACAAAAGACCAUCUCAUAAUUGGACAGUGUGAUCAAGCAAGAGUGGGGAAAAGAAGAAAGUAUUGUUUAAUUGGGCAAGCAUUUGCUCAGGAAACCACAUUUGGUUAGUUUCUUCAGUAGCAACAUCGUGUAUCCAAUAAAGUUUUACUUUUGGGAAUUCAAU